rnacentral:rRNA from 1 species
GGGGAAUUUUGCACAAUGGGCGCAAGCCUGAUGCAGCGACGCCGCGUGAGGGAUGGAGGCCUUCGGGUUGUGAACCUCUUUCGCUCAUGGUCAAGCCGCGGAUGUGUCCGUGGUGAGGGUAGUGGGUAAAGAAGAGCCGGCGAACUACGUGCCAGCAGCCGCGGUAAUACGUAGGGCGCGAGCGUUGUCCGGAAUUAUUGGGCGUAAAGGGCUUGUAGGCGGUUUGUCGCGUCUGCCGUGAAAUUCCCUGGCUUAACUGGGGGCGUGCGGUGGGUACGGGCAGACUAGAGUGCGGUAGGGGAGACCGGAAUUCCUGGUGUAGCGGUGGAAUGCGCAGAUAUCAGGAGGAACACCGAUGGCGAAGGCAGGUCUCUGGGCCGCAACUGACGCUGAGGAGCGAAAGCAUGGGUAGCGAACA